rnacentral:rRNA from 1 species
AAUGAACGUUUGGCGGCGUGGAUUAGGCAUGCAAGUCGAGCGAGAAGCCCCUUUCGGGGGGUGGACAGCGGCGAAAGGGAGAGUAAUGUGUGGAUACCUGCCCUUGGGUCCGGGAUAGCCGUGGGAAACUGCGGGUAAUACCGGAUAACAUCUCCGGAUCAAAGGUGUGAUUCCGCCUGGGGAUGGGUCCACAUCCUAUUAGCUUGUUGGUGGGGUAAAGGCCUACCAAGGCAACGAUGGUACCGGGUGUGAGAGCAUGGCCCGGCUCACUGGGACUGAGACACUGCCCAGACACCUACGGGUGGCUGCAGUCGAGAAUCUUCGGCAAUGGGCGAAAGCCUGACCGAGCGACGCCGCGUGCGGGAUGAAGGCCUUCGGGUUGUAAACCGCUGUCAGAGGGGAUGAAAUGCCGGAGGGCUAUCCCUCCGGUUUGACAAAUCCUCAGAGGAAGGACGGGCUAAGUUCGUG